rnacentral:ncRNA from 1 species
UAGUUAGAACAAGGUCAGUCAGAGAAACUGUAAGAAAACACUGUUGUCCAAACUGUCCUUUCCGCUGGAAUAGCCUCCACUGAAGAUAGUACUACUUACUACUACCACCUAAAAAAAAAACCAACGAAGCCCAGUGCUUUAGAGUGCACUCAUUGAGAAGUUUGAUACAUUUUUCUGAAGAAAUCGAAGUGUUCAAAUCUGGCUGGCCGACAGUGUGCUUCAGCCAGGAAUAACAGAAUAGAACUCUGGCUCUUUUUUUGUUGUUUUUUGGAAGCAGGGCCAUGAUUAAGAGCAAUGGCUGGGGGCAUUCAUAUUGUGCCACUUGAACUGGAGUUCUUGAACCAGUGAAAGAUGAACUAAAGCAAAAGUAUAUGCCAAGAAUGUUUCAUUAAUCAA